rnacentral:rRNA from 1 species
UACAGGGGGAGCAAGCGUUGUUCGGAUUUACUGGGCGUAAAGGGCGCGUAGGCGGCCAGCACAAGUCAGUUGUGAAAUCUCCGAGCUUAACUCGGAAAGGUCAACUGAUACUGUGCGGCUAGAGUGCGGAAGGGGCAACUGGAAUUCUUGGUGUAGCGGUGAAAUGCGUAGAUAUCAAGAGGAACACCGGUGGCGAAGGCGGCCCACUGGUCCGGUACUGACGCUGAGGUGCGAAAGCGUGGGGAGCAAACAGG